rnacentral:rRNA from 1 species
AGAUUUCCCAUGGAGUUAAUCCAGUAAGACCCCUUAGAGAUGAUGAGGUUGAUAGGUCUGGUGUGGAAGCAUGGCGACAUGUGGAGCUGACAGAUACUAAUCGGUCGAGGACUUAUCCAAAUU